rnacentral:rRNA from 1 species
UACGUAGGGUGCGAGCGUUAAUCGGAAUUACUGGGCGUAAAGCGUGCGCAGGCGGUGAUGUAAGACAGAGGUGAAAUCCCCGGGCUCAACCUGGGAACUGCCUUUGUGACUGCAUCGCUGGAGUACGGCAGAGGGGGAUGGAAUUCCGCGUGUAGCAGUGAAAUGCGUAGAUAUGCGGAGGAACACCGAUGGCGAAGGCAAUCCCCUGGGCCUGUACUGACGCUCAUGCACGAAAGCGUGGGGAGCAAACAGG